GGGACUGAGACACGGCCCAGACUCCUACGGGAGGCAGCAGUGGGGAAUAUUGCACAUUGGGCGCAGCCUGAUGCAGCGACGCCGCGUGCGGGAUGACGGCCUUCGGGUUGUAAACCGCUUUCAGCUCUGACGAAGCUUUUGUGACGGUAGGAGCAGAAGAAGCACCGGCUAACUACGUGCCAGCAGCCGCGGUAAUACGUAGGGUGCGAGCGUUGUCCGGAAUUAUUGG
rnacentral:rRNA from 1 species